CAACUUUUGACAACGGAUCUCUAGGCUCUCGCAACGAUGAAGAACGCAGCGAAAUGCGAUACGUAAUGUGAAUUGCAGAAUUCCGUGAAUCAUCGAAUCUUUGAACGCACAUUGCACCCUCUUUCGGGAGGGUAUGCUUGUUUGAGAAUCUAUA
rnacentral:rRNA from 1 species